rnacentral:tmRNA from 1 species
GGGGGCGUCACGGCUUCGACGGAGAUGCUUGCGGCCAAGAGGCAUGCCGGGGUGCACACACCCGUAAUCGCGUGCAAAAUGAUAAUUGCCAAUCAACAGAUGGCAUACGCUGCUUAAUUAGUUAAGUAGCCGUCCUCCGCGGCUUUGCCCGUGGGCUGCGGAAGGGCGUCGCACAGCGGGCUGGUUGUGAAAGCUACGUCUGGGCUUUUGCGACGAGAUCUACAGGCUAGCGGAACGCGUUUCUUGUCCGUUCUGAGCGCGCCCCGCGAACGUCCCAGGGUAAUGCCUGGGGCAUGAACUGGACUACGCAUGUAGGCUCUUGACCAGUAACAUUUUCGGACGCGGGUUCGACUCCCGCCGCCUCCACCA